rnacentral:sRNA from 1 species
AAAAAUAAAAUAAAAUAAAUUAUG